rnacentral:tRNA from 1 species
GCUAAUUAAGUGUUCUUCGCACAUUGGCUUUUCACGUCAAAAGAGCAUUCUCAUGCAUUUAGCU